rnacentral:ncRNA from 1 species
CCCCGUUCGGGUGACUGGCGCUGGAGGUGGGCAACCACCGGGGAGCUCGAACGCAGAUCGCCGCGCGCCUGGGCUCCUCAC